rnacentral:rRNA from 1 species
CCUGCGGAAGGAUCAUUGUCGAAACCUGCAAGGCAGACCGCGAACACGUGUUUAACCGUGUCGGGGCCGUGGCGUGGGGGCGCGUCCCCCCCGCCGCGGUCGCGGCUCCCCGCCGGUGCUUGCACUGUGCGGGCUAACGAACCCCGGCGCGGAACGCGCCAAGGAAAACCAAAACGAAGCGCCCUCCCUCGUCCCGUGCCCCGUCCGCGGUGUGCACGAACGGGGGCAAGGUCGCGCCUCACUUAUGUCAAAACGACUCUCGGCAACGGAUAUCUCGGCUCUCGCAUCGAUGAAGAACGUAGCGAAAUGCGAUACUUGGUGUGAAUUGCAGAAUCCCGUGAACCAUCGAGUUUUUGAACGCAAGUUGCGCCCGAAGCCUUCGGGCCGAGGGCACGCCUGCCUGGGCGUCACGCAUCGCGUCACCCCCCUCCCCCUCUCGGGCGGGGCGGGGGUGGAGAAUGGCCUCCCGUGCGCCCCGUCGCGCGGCCGGCCCAAAUGCGAUCCCCCGGCGACGCCAGUCGCGACCAGUGGUGGUUGAAUCCUCAACUCGCGUGCUGUCAGUCGUGCAGAACGGCGUCGUCCGGACGGGCAUCACCAACGACCCAAUCGGCGCCUCGGCGCUUCCGACCGCGACCCCAGGUCAGGCGGGAUUACCCG